UAGAGUUUGAUCCUGGCUCAGGACGAACGCUGGCGGCGUGCUUAACACAUGCAAGUCGAGCGAUGAAGUUUUUUCGGAAAUGGAUUAGCGGCGAACGGGUGAGGAACACGUGAAGAAUCUGCCCUCCACUUUGGGAUAACACCGGGAAACCGGUGCUAAUACUGAAUAUUGAAACAUAAGUGGCAUCACUGAGUUUUGAAAGAAUUUCGGUGGAGGAUGACUUCGCGGCCUAUCAGCUAGUUGGUGAGGUAAUGGCUCACCAAGGCAACGACGGGUAGCCGGCCUGAGAGGGCGACCGGCCACACUGGGACUGAGACACGGCCCAGACUCCUACGGGAGGCAGCAGUGGGGAAUAUUGGGCAAUGGAGGAAACUCUGACCCAGCGACGCCGCGUGCGGGAUGAAGGCCUUCGGGUUGUAAACCGCUUUCAGUAGGGAAGAAGCGAAAGUGACGGUACCUACAAAAGAAGCACCGGCUAACUAUGUGCCAGCAGCCGCGGUAAUACAUAG
rnacentral:rRNA from 1 species